GUUAGUCAAACCAUCCUCGUCUGUGUCGGGGAGGCGUUCUCCUCUAAUUCAAGCCACGAUCAGCAGUGGAAAUUCUGUUUGAGUUAAGAGGAAAUUGGAUGCGGGCUGAUCGCUUAAGUGUUUUAACAGAAAGGAGAAAACUCGUUUCUUUUAAUGCCCCAUUAAUCCAAAAUAUUACAUGUACGAAACACAGAGAGACCCAUUCUGCUUCUUUAUCUACAUCUUCUUCUAUUUGUUGUUUCCAGCUCAGCUGCGCAGCCUUUAGCCCCCUGUGGCUGCAGCCCGCAGUGGUGGUCUGGCCCUUCACAGCCUCGGUUCAGGUUCCUCACCAGACGAGGAAUAACGGCGGCUCUCCCAGGCUCCCGCUGGCUCGCCAUUUAGGCGAAAGAAAACUUCGCCGUCGGCUGCGUGAGUGUGGCUACGGCAACAUCUGGUGGUUCAAUCCAGAUGUGGGUCCAGAUUAUAAAACUGUCACAGAUUCCAGUUGAAACUCGUCAAGCUUUGAUCUUUCUCCUACGCCGUCCGCCGUCCACGUUUGCUGCUCUUCCUCCAGCACCAUGUUGACAUGACAACAGGGUCUGAGGCAGCUGAGGCCUCAACAGACGGACCGUUCAGGGUGAUCUCUUCAGGAGAUCUGCUCCUAAAUGGGUUUGUCUCCCACACUUCCAACACAGUUCUAAUCUGAUGAAGACAGAUGAGUCUGCAAUUGUCCCCCGACCAUUUGUCAUUGCGACGUGCGUUUUUGUUAUCAGCAGUGACAGAUUGCGCCACAUUUGGGAGCUCACUUCAAAGCAGAAGCUUCGCUCAAAGCAGUGUGAGCCCCUCAGAGUGGAAGCA
rnacentral:lncRNA from 1 species